rnacentral:tRNA from 1 species
UAUUUUCUAAGUUCUGUAGGAAUGUGACUUUGAAGGGGUUGAGGUUAAGAAAAUG